CAGCUUUUAAGAUUCUUUCCAGCUUUAUGCAGUGAUAGAGGCCAAGGCAUUCAGGAGUGGAGUUGAUCAAGGUCAGGAUUUGUCUUCUUUCAUAAAUCGUGUAGGCAAGAGCAAAUGACACGAAACCCAGAAUAACCAAAUGUUGGGAGUAGGAAGAUAGAAAACAUUGCUGAGUCCAGGGAGUGGAGAAGAGGUAAUAACUAGCAGGUAGUCACCUGGACAGAGGCAUGAAAGAGGAAAUAUUUAAGCCAGAAGGAAUCUGAGGUAGAAACAAUUAAAGCAGAAACCACGGUAUACAGAAGACUCCGGCAGUGUUUAAGAAGUUUCUUUGGCCCAGGGGCAUCAAUAAUGAUAAGACAUUCAGAAAACUCUUCAAGACCACUGUUUUCAAAAAAGGGGGAGUUGCAGAGAGGAUUUGGGGCACAACUGAAAAUAAGGAACCGACACAAUAAAACAUCUCUCAGAUGCUUGGAGGAUCAAACUCAGUCUCAGUUGCUGAGAUCACUAGUACGGCCCAAGGGCAUGGGCCUUCUGUGCUUCUUCAAUUUCAAAGGUUGGCUGGCUCACUGCCCCAGCCCGCCCCAUGGAAACCCUGAGCAAGGCACAUCUCCUGCGUGGUUUCUGAAAGGCAGAAGAUAAAUGUCUAUCCACAGCGAAAACAGUAGAAGAGCCCUUCAGCACAUCUCUGGCCAGAAAGCUGAGGGUUGGUGGCAGGGCGCCCACACAUUCAACUUGCCAGUAACAGUCCAGGGUCUUGUUGUUCUGCAUUUGCACAGAAAUUUAGACAGUCAUGGAAGUCAAAGAAUGCAGAUGACACUGUAGUUCCAACCCCACAGCCCAUGUGUCACCUCCUUUGUUUCAGUCACUUCAUGGAUGUCAUCUUUUGAAAAUGAUCUAAGUCACAUGAAGGCUUCCCAGCCACUCCUAGCUUCACAUAAUUGUAUCCUUUUCUAAAAUCCUGACCUUCCCUUAACCCAUUUCUCUGCAGUGCCAGCAUCUCACCAGUCUCCGAAAAGCAAUCCCCUUUCUAUUCUGAAUCAGUGAUCCUCUUCUUCAUCAGAACUGAUUCUUACCUUCAACCAUUAAAUCAGAUGAUUUCUUGAGAUUCCUUCCAGAUACAGUAUCAGUCAAUGUCCCCCACUCACUUAUUCACUCUCCUUAGAAUACAUAUAUAUUCAGAAAAAAAAAAUGACAUUGAUCCUAUCUAUCUUCCCUCCUCUUCAAAUACAGGUUCCUAAAGUGUCCAGUUUACAAGUCAAUUCACUGCUGGAUAAUUUAAUAUGUGGCUUACUCUCUAUAUGCCAUAGAGGCAGUGUGCUUAAUAAGGUCCCUAAAGACCUCAUUUUCAAUGCAUUGAGCAUCUCCCCUCUCUCCUCCUCAUUCUCUCUUAUCCUAAGGGUGUGUGUGUGUGUGUGCAUUGCACACGGUAUUGUCUCAAUUGUGUCCCCCCAACAAUUCAUGUUGCAUCCCUAAUCCCCAAGGUGACUGUAUUUGGAGAUAGGGCCUUUAAGGUGGUAACUAAGUUUAAAUGAGAUCAUAAGGGUGGGGCCCGAAUCCCACAGGACUGGUGUCCUUAGGAGAAGGGACACCAGAGAGCUGUCUUUCUCUGCACAUGUGAGCACACACACAGAGGAAAGGCCAUGUGAGGACAAGGCGAGAAGGCACCGUCAGGCAAGCCAGGAAGAGAGGCCUCACCAGAAACAAAAUUUACUGGCACCUUGAUAUUGGACUUCUAGUCUACAGAACAGUGAGAAAAUAAAUUUCUGUUGUUUUAAGCCACCUGGUCAGUGAUAUU
rnacentral:lncRNA from 1 species